rnacentral:rRNA from 1 species
GCCUAGCCCUAAACAUAGACAGUAAUAGCACAAUACUGUCCGCCAGAGAACUACAAGUGAAAAACUAGAAACUCUAAGGACUUGGCGGUGCUCCAUAUCACCCUAGAGGAGCCUGUCCUAUAAUCGAUAACCCACGUUUUACCUCACCACUUCUUGCAACUCAGCCUAUAUACCGCCGUCGCCAGCUUACCUUAUGAAAGAGACAAAGUAAGCAUAACAGUUAACAACUAAAACGUCAGGUCAAGGUGUAGCACACGAAGUGGAAGAGAUGGGCUACAAUCUCUAUAACAGAGUAUACGAAUGACACAGUGAAAGCUGUGUCUGAAGGCGGAUUUAGCAGUAAGCUAAACAAGAAACUUCACCUGAAACCCGCUCUGGAGCGCGC